UAUCAAUGGCAUCACGAGGAUCCCACUGUCUCCCCCCUCCAAUCAGUGAAACUGAUCUCUCCGUGAAGAAGCGGGGAUAUUUACAUAAGACGAGAAGACCCCAUGGAGCUUUAAACCCGAUGUCACCCAUUUUCCUCUACACCCUAAUAUUCAAUUUGGCCCUGCCCUGUCGGUUUUAGGUUGGGGUGACCACGGAGUAUAAUAUACCCUCCAUGAAAAAGGGAGUAAUAAUCCUUAUUAGAGAACAACACUUCUAAAAAUUAAAACAUUAAUUUAUAAUGAUCCGAUAUUCGAUCAACGAACCAAGUUACCCUGGGGAUAACAGCGCAAUCUGCCUCAAGAGCCCCUAUCGACAGGCGGGUUUACGACCUCGAUGUUGGAUCAGGGCAUCCCAGUGGUGCAGCAGCUAC
rnacentral:rRNA from 1 species